rnacentral:tRNA from 1 species
UCCUAGUUAGGUUAAGUUAAACCGUUAAUUUGUGGUGUUAAAAAUAUAAGAAAUUAUACUAAGAA